CCUUGUGUGGCACUGGCUGUCCACUGUCCCAAGCCCUCGCAUGUCCUGGAUGGCCGGUCAUCAUCCACACGGGGGCUGAAAGGCCCGGCUCCAGCACUCCUGUGGUCAUCAUCCUGCUGAAUCGCUUUGAACUACCCUUGGCCUAACCGCGACUCCCAUCCCGCUUCCCUCCUGCCUCGCCACUGCAGGCCUGUCCCUUUGCUUUCUUAAAACUGCGCACCGUCUGAGGCCACUUCGAGCCUACUGGAUCCCUGGUUCCAACCCAGUAGGAUCACAGAAGCAGGGCCAGCUGCCAGGAGAAAAAGUUGUUCUCUUCUACCAAAUUUUCCUGCCAUCAAAUGCUCAUUGAGUGACAAUAGAGAAAGCACCAUCAUCCUGAAGCAUCAGAUUGGGAGAAAAGUCCGCUCUCGAGAGCAUCAACUAUGUAGAAAGGGGACCAGCUUCUGCAAAAGACUUGAGACAGCUCACAAUGAAGUACUCUGUAUUAGGCAGGGUAAUAUUGAUUGCAAGUGACAGAAACCCAAUCAGAAACUCACUGGAGUCAUGAGGAACACUUAUUGGCUCAGAGUAAAGGCAAAAUAGACCUUCAGAGAAAUAAAGUCUGGGAAAUUGACUAGAUCCUCACUGAAAGAACUACUAAAGGAUGUACUUAUGGAAGAAGAAAAUUACAAAGUGAAAGAACUGGGAUGCAAGAAGUAAUGGUGAGCAUGGAAUUUGGCAAAGAUUCAAGUAAAACAAAGCAAGGACUGAGUAUAUAAAAUCAUAAUCAUAACAAAUUUUGACUAUUAUAUGUAACAGCCAAUCUCUUAACUGGGUCAUAAUAAGAAAGUGAAAGGCAGAAAAAAUGACAAAAAGAAUAAUUAGAAUGUUAAUAAGAAGAGUAACAAGAUUUUGAAAAAUUUGUGCUGGUUGAUAUCAACUUUUGGCACUUUUCUCUUUUUCUAUACUGUUAACAUAAUUAAUGAAAAAAUAAUAAUUCAUACUUCAAAAAAUUUAAGAAGUUGCACAUAUUUUCAUUUGAAAUAGUAUAAGCAUUUUACAAAUGUUAUUUUAAGCUUUAAAAAGUGAGUAAAAUUAAUAACCAAAUGGUGGAAGCAACCCAAGUAUCCAUCAAUAGAUGAAUGAAUAAACGAAAGGUAGUAUGUUUAUACAAUGGAAUAUUAUUCAGCCUUAAAAAGGAAAUUAUGACACAUGCUACAACAUGGGUGAGCCUUAAGGACAUUAUGCUAAGUGAACUAGACCAGUCACAAAAGGGCAAAUACUAUAGGAUCCACUUAUAUGAGGUAAUUACAGUAAUGAAAUCAUCGAGACAGAAGGUAGAAUGGUGGUUGCCAGGAGCAGGGGUAGGGGAAAAUGAGAGUUAUUGUUUAGUAGGUACAGAGUUACAGUUUUGCAAGAUGAAAAAGUUCUGGAAAUGGAUGGUUGUGAUUGGUGCACAACAAUGUAAAUGUACUUAAUGUCACUGAACUGUACACUUAAAAAUGGUUAAGGCGGUUCUUUUUUUGUUAUAUGUAUUUUAACUUUAAAAAUAAUACUUUUAAAAUGUGAGAAAAAUAUCCUUGAAUCUGUUUUAUGUUAGUGAGUGAAAGCAUCUCUAAGAAGAGAGUCAAUUACUUUGUCAAGGCAGUCCCCAGCCUUUUUGGCACCAGGGACCUGUUUCGUGGAAGACAAUUUUUUCAUGGAUUGGGUGGGGGGUGGCGGUUUUGGGAUGAAACUGUUCCAUGUCAGAUUAGAUCAUCAGGCAUUAGAUGAGAGCACAACCUAGACCCCUCACAUGAGCAGUUCACAAUAGGGUUCAUGCUCCUCUGAGAAUUUAAUGCUGCCCUUGAUCUGACAGGAGGCAGAACUCAGGUGGUAAUGUUCACUCACCUGCCACUCACCUCCUGCUGUGCAGUCUGGUUCCUAACAGGCUGUGAACCAGCGGUACUAGUCAAUAGCCUAAGAGUUGCGGACCCCUGCUCCAAGACACCAAGCCCACAGCACAUCUGGUGGGGUCAGACAUGACCCUUACCCUUCCCUCCCACACCCCUGUCCCCAGCUUCUCAUUUCAUGGGCCCUAUUCACUGGAGCCAGUUUGUCUAAUAACUCCAGAAUCUGUGCUGCCUCUCAAUUAGCACUCCAAGUUUUGGGUCAGGCCCUCAUCAUUUCUUACUUUGAUCAACACAUUAAAAUCCUGGCCAGUCUCCCUUUUACCAUCUAUCCUCCACUCUGCAAGCUGAAUGAUCAUUCAAAAGCAUGAAUCUGUUAAAAAGAAAUCAAAAGAAGGAAAGAGGAAGAGAUAGUGGUUAGUGACGUGAAAUGAAGCAGAAUAGUCAAGGAGAAAACGUAGCCUAGAAACACUUAUGGAUUGGAGUCUUUCAGGAGAAAAGAGUUAGUAAAGUUGUGGAGACGGAGAAGCCAGAUAACAAGGAGUGAGAAGAAAGUGAAGAAACUAAUAUAAAAUUGCCUGUUCUCCUGGCAUUAUCUUCCCCAUUUGUUUGCCUGGCAAACAUUUAGUCUUUAAAAUCCAAUCCAAUGUCAUCUUCUCCACAGAGUCUUCUUUAAUAUCUGCAGGCAAAGUUAAGAGCUUCCCUUGCAAUACACCAGCGUGCCUUGUUCAUGCUUUUACUACGGAAUUUAUUACAUUUCUCUAAUUAUUUGUUUUCAUCAUUUUCUGUCACUAGACUGUGAGCCACUGGGGAAAUACACUAUUUUCUAUUUCUCUUUAUACCCCCAGUUCCCAACAUGAUGUGAACAACAUCUGUGCUGGUUGAAUGAAUGAAUGGUGUUGAAAGCAUCUACAUCAGGGGUGUCCAAUCUUUCAGCUUCCCUGGGCUACACUGGAAGAAGAAUAAUUUUCUUGCACCACAUAUAAAAUACACUAACACUACUGAUAGCUGAUGAGCUAAAAAAAAAAAAUCGCAAAAAAAUCUCAUGUUUUAAGAAAGUUUAUGAAUUUGUGUUGGGCCACAUCCAAAGCCAUCCUGGGCUGCAUGCAGCCUGCAGGCCAUGGGUUGGACAAGCUUGACUACAGCUUUAAAGUGAUCUUAAUCUAAUCAAUUCUUCCCCAUUCAGAAGAAACCUACUACAUCAGAGUCUAUUGAGAAUCUAUCUCCCUAAUCACCCUCAGGCACAGGGUUAUUAUGUAUUGAUAUCAUACACACUAAAAAAUUCCAUCAUACAGGUCUAGAAAUACUUCCAUAAUACAGUAAUAUUUUAAUAGAGUCAUAACACACAGACAGCCACCCAUUCUGCCUGUAGCCAGUCAUGGAGCAAUACAUUUUGUACAUAACCUGUAAUUUCUUCUGGAGAGUGUAAUUACAAUGCCAAUAUGACAUUUUAUUUUUAUUAUUAUUAUUUAGUUAGUUAGUUAGUUACUUUUUGAGACAGAGUCUCACUCUGUCGCCAGGCUGGAGUGCAGUGGUGUGAUCUCGGCUCACUGCAACCUCUGCCUCCCGGGUUCAAGUGAUUCUUCUGCCUCAGCCUCCCGAGUAGCUGGGACUAUGGGUGCCCACCACCACACCUGGCUAAUUUUUGUAUUUUUAGUAGAGAUGGGGUUUCACCAUGUUAGCCAGGAUGGUCUAGGGGUUGAUAAACUACAGUGCACAGGCCAAAUCUGGUUUACUGCCUGAUUUUGUAAAUAAAGUUUUAUUGGAACACAGCCUUGCCCAUUUAUUUACUUAUUGUCUCUGACUGCUUUCAUGCUACAAUAGAGUAGUUGCAACAGAAACUAUAGUCUGCAAAGCCUAAACUAUUUACAACCUGGACCUUUAGAGAAAGUUUGCUGACUCUUUUUUUAAUGGAUAAACUAAAAGUAUGUAAGUAAACAUGAUUUCAUGUCUUAUGAUAUGUCAGGUGAAUGGUACAAUCCUUUGGUUUAAGUUCUUAGUAUUAUACCUAAAGUAUAUCUACCAUGAAAUGCAUUUUCCACCUUUCAUAGUCUCAGCUGGUUAAUCAAAAUAAAUGGAUUCUAUGGCAUAAUUCAGGAUGUUACCAUUUUUGCUUUUUAGAUCAGCUCUUCACCCACUGUUUUCCUGUCAUACACAUGGUGUUCUUAAAAUUGUAAAUGAAAACUCAUUUGAACUUACAUUAGUAACUUCUGUUAAAUUAUACUGGAUUGCUUAUUAAGUAAGCAUUAUUAUCCACAUUAAAUCUGUCACAGAUGAAAAAAUUACACAUAAAGGAGACUGCUUGAGGCCCCAGGGCAUGCUGUAAUAUACAUAGAGGCUCCUGAAUACUUGGUUUUCCAUGUGGAUCUCUGAUUUUGCUGAAAGAAGUCUGUAAACUGAUGUAGUCAGACAGCUCCCCACUGGCUACACAUCUCUAUAGAAUUUAGAAGCAUUGUUUAUUUCAGCAGAGGUCUGGAAUGAAUUUUCCUUAUAAUUUAACUCCUGAAAUGACUGUUUCAAAAGGUCAACUGUGGUGAACUUGCAUAUGUGACUUGCAGUCACAGCUAAGUCACGAUCCCUUAGUUUUUCCAGAAGUCCACUAGAACGUUAGCUCCAUGGCACUGUUAUCUUGCAUCUCCAGGUCCUGAAACAGCCCUUAGUGCAUACUAGGUAUUCAAUAACUUUUUUUUGAAUAAAUGUUUUAUGUAAAUUCCAUCACAAAUAUGGAAGAUCUUAGAGGGGAUUUUUGAAAACCAAAGAAAGUUGAAACUCCUUCACAUGGAGUUUGGAUGUUGAACUUAGAGGCUUGACUUAGCCAUUUUUAAAAAACGAAAUGUGUGUGUAUGUUUAUUUAAGGUACCUUAGUGACAGGUACAACCUACAGCCCAAAGACAAUGUACAAAACCCAAUGAGGGGACAAGCCUCCACUCUUUUAUAAGAUGCAGAAAUUUGCAGGAGUCUAUCACUCUUACUCUAACCAUGAGAACAGACCAGAAGCACUACAAAUGACAGUUUUAUUUGUUGUUGCUUUCAUUUGCAUGUUUCACACUCAUCAGAGAACCCAGGAGCCAAAAAAAAAAAAAAAAAAAAGAAAAAAAUCCCUCAAAUUAACUACAUUUCCAAAAGGAUCAAGCUCUUCCUAGAGAGAAGAGUCCCACAGCUGCUUUUGUUCCUAGGGACAUGUUGGAAGGAGCACAGAAGAGGAAGGGAGAAACCAGCCUAUCUUUAAACAAAUUUUGGAUGAUUGUAUAUGGGUUGGCAUAACAGAGUAGAAUCACAAGGUACCCCAGGAAUAGAACUAGUCUGUACCCACCCAGCCUCCAUUGAGUGGAUGGGAGUCGUACACUGAAAGCUGGUGCCAGGGUAGGAGAACUGAGAAAUACCCUCCCCAGGUACACCAGGUCUUCCCAAAGUACAAGAAAGUAGCCCACUGAGCACAGGAAGCAAGGCAGGAGAAGCAAGAGGGAUUCUCCAAGGCAUGUGAGGUUCAUCCAUUGCAAGGCAGUCCCCAUUACACACUGGGGGUAAGGCAGGAAAGCUGAAAGAAAUCCCCUCCUAGAAAGCACGAGGCUUUCACCAAAUGCAAGGCAGCAGCCUGCAGUAGCCAGAGGCAAAGCAGGAGAACUGAGAGAAAUAGAUGCUCCCGAAAACCCUUUCAACUCUCCAAUCCCCUCAACCCUACCCACCCACCUCACCCCUACCUCCACCCUCCCUACACAAGGUCUCUACUGAGUACAUUGUAGCCACCUAUUGAAUGCUGGAGGAAGAGCUAUCUUAAGGCUCUGAGAUGUGGAGGCAGAGUUUAGGCAAAGAAAAGGCCCCAGCAACCCAAGAAGUUGGUGGCUGGGCUGUAAGGCAUAAAGAGAACUCCCACAGUUUGGAAAGUUGGGGGCUGGGCUGUGUGAAGCUUGGAGAACUUUCCAGAGUCUUACUGUCUCUAGGAUUCCAAGAUACACUGAGAGAAAAGUACUGAUUCUACUUUUCAGAUAUUAAAACCAGCCAUGAACUGAAUCACAAUAAGCUGUGACAAAGCUCAGACCCAGCCCAACUACACAGAGAUCAGAUGGGCCCUGUCUCCAAUCACAGGGGACUGACAGAACCAGGGCUUUGCCAUUUUAUAGGCAUCAGUAUUAUUUGCUUCAGUCACUAUCGUUGUUUCUACAUGAAAUGGUCAGCAUACAACAAAACGUGUAUAUGUAUCAGCAGUGUUUGAUUGUUUUAACAAUGUUUAUAGAUAGAUGAUAGAUAAAUAGUUACUAAUACCAUGUUCAUGGGUGAAAGAUUUAAUAUUAUUAAGACAUCGGUUGUCUCCAAAUUGAUAGAUUCAUCGCAGUCCAAAUCAAAAUCCCAACAGGCUUUUUUUGUUUGUUUGUUUUUGUAGGAAAUGACAAGCUAACUCUAAAGUUCACAGGAAUGAAAAGCACCUAAAAUAGGCAAAUUCAUUUUGAAAAAGAAGAACAAAGUUGGAGGGCUAAGACGACCUGAUUUCAAAGUGCAAGGCUUCAAUAAUCAAGACAGUUUGAUAUUGGCACGAAGAUACACAAAGAGAUAAUGACACAGACAUUAGGUCCAGAAGACAGUCCAGUAAUAGACUUUCACAUAUAUGGACAACAAAUUUUUGACAGUGCCAAGGCAAUUCAGUAGAGAAAGGAUAGUUUUGCAACAAUGGUGCUGGAACAUUUACAUAUCUGUAUACAAAAAAACCCCAACUUUGAUCUAUACCUUCCUUCAUAUGCAACAAUUAACUAAAAAUGAAUCUCAUAUAUAAAUGUAAAAUGUAAAUCUAGGCCGGGCGCGGUGGCUCACGCCUGUAAUCUCAGCACUUUGGGAGGCCGAGGUGGGUGGAUCACGAGGUCAGGAGAUCAAGACCAUCCUGGCUAAGA
rnacentral:lncRNA from 10 species